rnacentral:miRNA from 1 species
AACAAUAGGCCCUGGCGAUU